UCUUCCUCCAGUGGCGCAAUAUGAUCCACCAGCAAAGGGGGGAAUGUCAAUGGAAGGCGUCCGAUAAGAUAAGUCUUAUAAAAUAUAUAGAUUUAUGUAUGUUCAUUUUACUGAUUAUUGAAUAAAGUACUUGUUUGGCCAAUGAGACAGAAAGUUAGACUGGAUUAGGAGUCAAAGAGGAUUCUGGGAAAUGUAGUAGAGAAGUGGUGGUUCAGACAGGAAGUGACAUAGCAAGGAGACUCAUAUUUAAACAAGGAGAAACAGGAAGUGUCCCCUUUCCCCUUUUCCUCCUCCAGCGGCGCAAUAAGAGCCACCAGCAAGACAGGGCACCAGCGAAAGACAUCCUCUAUAAGUAGUGUUAACUCGAUGAAGAUGUAUAAUGAAAAGGAGCAAGCAGAGAAAGGAAAAAUAUACAAUGUACAAUUUGAGGAGAAGGAGAACCAGGCAGUGGACUGGAGCUAAGUCCUGUGUUCAAGAAGAUAAACAGAUGAAGAAAUGGAAUAAAGAGAGUGGUGAUCCCAUGAAGCUAAGUUUCCAACUAAAGGAAUUAAAGACAAGCUUAGAACUAGGUGUGGUGGUGUAUGUCUGAAGAGACCAGCUUCCCUUUUGGCAGCCAUAACAGCUGAACACGUGCUUGCUAUAACCUUGUCUUGGUCACUUAGAGGUCAGAUGCCUGCCUCGUGGCAAGGAAGCAAUCAGAAGUUAGCUGGUGGUGCUAUGCUUUAUGGCUCUGGGUGUGCUUUAUGGACAAGCGCACAGCAAUGGCGCACAGAGCAUAGUAACCACCCUGGGAGGGCCUAUGGGCCAUAACCAGUUGACCAAUCAAUACAAGGCAAACCCUCCAAGCCUGGAGGCACACCAAUCCUGAACCUGUGUGUACCCCUACACACUCCCCUUACGCUGCCCUAUAAAGAUCUGUAUGCAGUGGCUUCGAACUGUCUUUGUUAGCCAUCCGACAUGGCAGGUGGAUCAAAGACCCGAGCUAACAUGGGGUUAGCUCGUUAAACUACAAUAAAGCCUCAUGCAAUUUGCAUCAAGCUUUCGCCUCCAUUCUAUGAUGGGGUGGCCGUGGUCCUGGGCUAAGAUCCUGGAAGCCUGAGCUUUUCGAGGGUUUUACAUGUCUUUAAUACCAGCCCUUUAGAGGAAGAAGCUGCUGGAUGUCUGAGUUUGAGGCCAGCCUUAUCUACAGAGUGAGCUCCAAGAUAGCCAAACUUAGGUGGAGAAGGUUACCAGAAAUGCUCAAGCUAUGCCCAGUGUGGUAGACAGUUCACUUCCUGCUGCCUUUGAAUCAAAAUGUAAAACUCUCAGCUCCUUCUCCAGCACCAUGUCUGCCUGCAUGCCACCUACCAUGAUGAUGAUGGACUAAACCUCUGAACUGUAAGAUAGCCAAUUAAAUGUUUUCUUUUAUAAAAAACUGCUAUAGUCAAUAGUAACUUCACAAUUAUAGAAACCCUAACUAAGACACAGGUGAAUGGAUACAACAGAGCCACUAGAUGUUCCACCCCGGCCCACCCAUCAAAACAGGAAACAAGAACAUUUUCUGAAGGGCUUUAAGCAACAGGAGACAAGAGGCCAUUGUGAGGUGACUAUAAAGGGCAGAGGAGCCCUCAGGCUACAGUGGAUCCUUCAGAGGGCUACAGGUCAUGUGCCACCUGCAAGUUCUUCUCGAUUGUCUUGAAUAAGUGGUUCAGCUUGUACUGUUUUACUUAGGAAAUUCUUCGAUAUAAGAGGAAAUCUGACUUUAGCAAGGAUAUCAACCAUAAAUGGCUGGUAAUUAGGCUCAUCGUAUUUUAACCACCUCACUGCAGCGUCAUAAACCUGGUCCUCUGCUCUCACAGUCAGAGUGUCCUGGCUAAGAAGCUGGGUUACUUGUUUGACAUCAAGUUGUAGAAAUUCAUCAGUUUUGUAAACUUUGGUAAAAUGCUGGUGAAUAAAGUCAUCUGCUGUUGCUUUCAGUUCAGGACAGUCCAGACACUCUGCAAGCACACUUAUACCAAGACAAUUUGAUGCGUCCACCUGUUCCUUCAAAAAAUCAACACACAUUUUCUUCACAGGUUCAAUCUGGUACUGAUUGGCUGCAUCUAACAAUGACUGGACGUUGUUGCUAUUCACAGAAAUUCUAGCAGUAUAAGCAAAUUCCACCAGCUGUUCAAUAAUACCAGGUUCAGCAUCUUUGAGUUCUACUUCAAAGGACUUAGAUUCAAGCAUGUUGGUUGUGAACAUUAAGUUAAAAAAAAGUGACUGGCUGCAGCAAGGACAACACGGUGAGCAGGAAUCUUUCUUCCCUGGACCAUGAGGAUCACAUCACACAAUGUUCUUUGCUUCCUCAUGGUGUUCAUGACGCCCAUGAAGCCCACGAGCAGCUUGGCCUCCUCGCGAGCGGCGAGUUUCUUCUCUGUCUUCUUCUUGCUGCUCUUCUCCACGCCCGAGGUGGCCAUCCGGGUUUGCCCACCACGCGCGCGGCGAGGGCUGCAGAGCACGGG
rnacentral:lncRNA from 1 species